UGGAAAGUGGUGUAGCGGAAGCACUUGGAGUUUUGAUCUCCAGAAUAUAGGUUCGAGUCCUUUUUUUCCAU
rnacentral:tRNA from 1 species